AAAAAACACUUGAGUUGAUCCUAUUUGCUACUGCAGUUCCGAAAAAAGAAAAGAAAAAAAGACAUGAAACCCUUAUAUUGAUCACCAUUUAAAUAUAUAUCUGCAAAAUUAAAAUGUGGCCUAAAACUAGACAUGAAUCUCUACCAAGAUACAAUUCCUUCCCCCACCUAUUAAAACCCUAAAUAAAUUUGUCUAGCUUCCAUUGCUUCUUUGAACCUUGAGGCCGAAAGUUCUCAAGCCGCAUAGUAGAGCUUCUGCAAAUCUCCGAAACUGCAGAAUCACCUUGCUCGACCUUUAUCAUCUCCAAUGUGCUCCCAAGAACUUCAGCAGCAAGCCCUAUUUCCACAAGCCGUCCUUCCUCUUCUCCGCCUUUGUAUAUCAAACUCCCUAUUUCAUUGAACGGUAUCACAUUUUCCGAUAUUACCUUCCCAAAGAUGCGACCAAGAAAUUCGGCUGCUCUAGGGGCAUCAUUUACUGCAUCCUCCAAGCUAGUCAGAACAUUUUCAAACCCUUUAAUUAACUGAUCUUGACUUAUUGCCACGUCUCGAGAAAGAGUUAGACCAAUUAUAAGCUUUGCCAAAAGAUCCCUUUCCAUAUCCUUCCUCUCGAAGGAGUCAGUAACCCAAAGUGAGAUCAUUGAUGGAUAGAAGCCAGGUGAAUUCAGGUCUUUCACACACAAAGCAACCUCUUUCUCAUCUUUCGCACUGUAGAAUUCCUUGAUAGCAGCCAUAGACAUUUCCAGCAGACGUUCUUCUGGCCAGAUCCUGUCAGGAGCCACAUUUUGUGUGGAAGUCGCCCCUCCACUUCUUACAAGUGGAGAAGGAGGCCGAGAUGUGUCAAAUCCACGCUCCUUGUUCCCAUAUGUCACGUUCCUUUCUGGUGCACUUGAUUGAUCAUGUUGACUAGAUAAUCGCUCAGGCAUGUAUUUGGGCGCAAGCUCCUCUCUUAAACCAUAAAGGGGGCGCUCUGACAAAGAACCAUAGCCACUUUGGGCAUGUACCAUCCUUCGAGAGUCUCCAAAACUUGACAUAUUAUCAAUGCUUGGUCCAGCAGGUUGGCCCCUGGAAGACAUUCCCUUUGCAAGACCACCUUGGGGUCCAAGUGUGAUCGGAUCAUCACCAAGAGGCCUCUGGGUCAGGGGAAGUGAUAAUGUCCUAUUCUCGAAAGAAUGCCUCUCAUCCACCCGUACGUCCUGCAUGCCAUAGCCACGGACCUGUGGAGACAUAGGACGGAAACCCCCCAUCUGGGAGCCCGGAGAAGACAACAUACCCCCUCCUCUGGGAACAAAAUCCAUAGGUUGACCCCUUCUACUAGAACCUCCCAGACUAGGAGUACGAGCAAGCCUAGUAGCUUGUGCAUGUCGUUCUUGGGCAGCAUCCCUAUGCACUUCCUCGAUCUUCUUAGGCCCUUCAACUUUUCUCCUUUGCUGCCAUUUGUUCUUUCUUAGAUCAAUUGAAUCCUUCAACAUGAACCUCACCCUAGAAGAAAGUUUCAUGUUAUUUGACAACUUCUCCAACAUAUCAAAGUAUGCAUCCAUAUGUUCCUUUGCUUUGGCAUGAUCUAUCAUCUCCCCAAUUGUACUCAUCAACUUACACAAAGCUUCAACAUUCUCCUCGUCGGGAUUUUGAUAGUCACCUAACAACUUCUUGAUGCACUCGUGCAUAAUUCUCUCUGUCAACAUUUUCUUCUUAUAAAGUUCACCGAUCAGUCUUAUAUUGCCCAACAUUCGUCUCCGUGCUUUCACUCUUUUCUCCUCCCUCUCCUCUGCUGACAGUUUUACCUCACCUUCCUCGUUAGUUACAUUGGCUUCUAGUUCUUCUCUUUCCCCUCUCUCAAACUCUUCCUGACAUUUGUUUAGAAGUAACCUCUUAAAAGUGAUUUUUUCAUUGUCUACACUCAGAUCAGGCAACUCGGCUGCUAGGUGUUGACAAAAAUUGGCAUACAUCUCACAAAAAGUUGGCUCCAUCAAAGCUUUGUCAAAUAUCUGAGAAAUUACACCUUUGAGUGUGACAUAAUUGUCAAUAUUAACUUCUUUCACUUGCUGGAAUAAUUUGUCAAAGUUCUGGGGAGUAAGCUUAUUUAAGAUAGCUUUCAGCUGUCUCUGCUUGGCUUGUUCCUCAUCUGUUACUUUACCUACUUCAUACUUUACUUCAGCUUUGUGCAUAUUCUGUGCAGGUGUGUGAGGAGACGGCAUUAAACCCUUUUGGAAAGCAGUUCCACGCUGCCACCUGUCAGCAUCAACUCCAUUUCUCAGGCCUCCUCCCUGAGGUGGACCCAUGGAUUGCAUUGGUCCAGAUAGUAUUCCCCCAGUGGCUAACUGACCCAUGGCAUACUGACCCACAGCAUACUGACCCAUGGCAUAUUGAAUGGGCAUUGCACCUCGCGGGUGCCGCAGAACACCAGAAUUGCCUCCUGGGCCAGGUCGGAACCCCACACCAUUUCCCCCAAAGCCAAUGUCUGGCUGAAAAUCUCGACCAGGCAUAGGAGGCCCAGGCAUCUUAUUCCACUUGUCUCCAUCCCCAACGCCACUUCCGCGACGUUCACGAUGUCCGCUGGACGGCCUAUCAGUACCUCUUCCUGGACUAGGGAAUGGCUCACGCAUAGCACUGGCAUUGAAGUUAAUUAGAAUAUCCGCAACAUCAGGAGCAACAUUAAAACCCUCAGGAAUAUCAAUGCAUUGCUCUGCAAAUUUAAGCAAGAAGUCUCUUGAAUAUUUCUUGGUAGUCACACCAUCACCAUCUUCACCAUCAACCUUUCUAUGUUCAGGAGCAAUUUCUAGUUUAGGAGUAGAUACAUCUGCAGCAUCCUCCCAAUCAUCUGGCUCUGCUUUAACCUCACCAACCUUCUUAGUUGAUCUAAGAUCUUCCUGAUGCACAUUGGCAGAUGGAGGCAUAGAGUCAUCUUUAGAAGUGAGUUCAAUGGUUUCGAUUGAUUGACUAAGUUCAUCCUUCUUCUCUGGACCUUUGUACGCCAUAUAAAGAUCAGAAGUCGCACCAGCAGCAUCUGCCUUCUUAUAUAAGUCUUUUUUCUUCUUUUUACCCCUAGACAUAGUGACCUUAGGCACAUUGGAAUCCACCAAAGAUUUCUCCUUGACGCCAGAUGACGACUUGGAAACUAAACCGGCGUUACUAGUUUCAGUAUUUUCAUCUUCACUCUUUGAAGUGGCCUCAUCAGAACUCUUCAACAAAUCAGAGGCGAACUCCUGACUUGCGUCAACCGACUUUGUAACAGGAGCUUCUUCGGGGUCCGCAAUAUCUGAUUCCUGAUCAUCUUGAGCCGAUAGACCAAUUGCUGAUGUGCAAGCCUCGGUAUUAGUAGAAUCCUGGUUAGAAGUGGAUGAUGUAAAGCUAUCAGCUAUGCUAUCAACUCCAGUUGAACAAGCUACAGAUUCAUUCAUGUGCUCCACUCCAAUUUCUGGUCGACCAUUCUCAAUAUUGGCAUACGCUGCUCUCUUUGGAGAACCCCCUUCAGUUAGGCCAGACACCUCAGGAGAUUCUACCGGAAGAGAUUCUGAAGGUGGCUUCAAGCUAUUAUUCUCGUCCUGCUUCCCGGCCUUAGACAAUGCUACUUCAUUUCUAUCCCCAGUUUUAAGUACUGGUUUGCCCGCAUCCUGAUUUCUGGAAUCCAAAGGUUCAGACAAAUCUUCCUUUCCACAAUUUCCAGUAAUAUGACUUCUCAAUUCAGCGGACUCUGACAGAGAUAGACUUUCCCUAGUGUUCACAGCAGUGCUCACUGAGGCAGCAGUAUUGACCUCAACGAGUGUGGUUAGUGGAUACUGGGGAGUCUGAAUUGAAACUGAGGUACAUUUCCCAAGAGCCUUAUCUUGAACAGUCAAUUGUCCCCUAGUUACUUGUUUUUUCUUUUGAUCUUCAGUGGAGUCUGGGCCACCAAGUGUUUCACUAGCUGCAUCUACACUACUAUCUCUAAUUAGAGAUGUUGAAGACUCAAUGGGAGCUUGAGAGGUCAAUGACAAUAUGCCAGCUGCUGAGCUCUUCCCUGAGAUAGAAUCAGCCCCUUUAGUAGAUUGUAUAUUUUCUACAGGCCUUGAAGAAGAUUUUGAGCCAUCGCCAGUCCUUGACUGAGUGGUGGAGCUUUGAUGUGAAGUGUUUGCGUCUUUCUGAGAGUGAGCUGAAUCUCCUCCACAUGGCUUUGAGAGCCUCACUGGAUCUUUUCCAAAAGAAGAACUAACAGAUGGUAACUGCUCUUUUCCUGAAUGUAUUCCUCCAGCAGCCGGUUUCACUGUCACCUGAUUAAAAGGCCUUGGUGGCUGAGAACUCUGAGUGUUACUGAGAGGAAUAGAACUUGGAGCUUGAAAGUAAACAGAAUUGGAAUUAUAAGAGUUGGGAUAAUAGUUAGGAUGACUGGGAGAAUAUGAUGCAAUAGGCUGUGAUUGAGGUGGCAUAUUAGGGUGUGACCUCUCUUCAAGCCUCAAUUCUUCAUGAGUUUCCGGGUGAGUUAUCUUCACACUUUUACGUUGACCUAGGAACUUCCCAGCCUGCUGCGGAGAAAACUGUGAUGGCAUAUUCAUUCCCAUGUUCCCCAAUUGCUGAGGCAGCUGAGCCCCAAUUCCUGAUGAAAAAUUCAAGCCCUGCCCCUGAUGCAUCAUCCCUUGAGACUGCAUUGGGUGGGGUUGAAGAUUUGAGACAAACAUUGGCUGCUGCAUAGGUGGAUUGACAAUUGGCAGAUGCAUCGGCAUUGGUAAUGAUGUAGCAGACAUGGAAUGAGAUGGAAUUUGUGGUCCAGGACCACCAAAUUGAACAGGAACUUGAGGUGGCUGGUGGAAUGGAAUUUGCAUGUGCAUUCCAGGCAUGGGAUGUGUAGAAGGCUUUUGUGUUUGAGUAACAGGAGGUGGAGCUAAAAUGUGUACAUCUCUUUUGGGCUUGUUAGCCACCCCAUAAGCCUCACUAUGAUUGGAUUGGUUGAGGGGUCCUGCAUCCUUUCUUGGCAUAGGCUGCUUGGAAGUGGAUGGAUUUGGCAACGAAGGAAUAGCUCUUGAAGUGUCACCACGAGCCUGGGCUCUCUUCUGCUCAUCCAGAUUUGGUGGAGCUGAGCUUGUUCGCGCAGGUAUCUGAAGAACAUUCAUGACACCGGGACUUAUGGAUCCAAAUUGAAGUGGAAAUGACUUAGAUGCAUCUCCUGGAUUCUUUGCAGGAGUGACAGGUGCAGACGACUCAGAGAUUGGAGGGACGACAUUAGAAGUUGGAGCUCGUGGCACUGCUCGAGUAACCUUUUGAGUCGAAGCAUCAGUUGGCUUAACAGUAGCACUGGGAAGAGGUGUGUGCGCAAUAGCAACAGAAACAUCUGAUACUCCAUGCGAUGGUUGUUGCUGAUGAGCACCAUUCAGAUGAGAAUCAGAGCCAGCACCAACGCCACUUACCCUAGGUUGCCCUCCUUGAGCAUUAUAAUACUUCUUGUUGAAACUUCUAUUAGAAGUCAAAGAUGGAUUGGAGGUUGAAGAAACAGGAGGAGGGGCGGCGCCUCCGCCACCGCCACCACUUCCUCGGCCGCCGCGGUGCUGAUUAAAGCUACCGGAUCGGGCGGUUCUCCUGUACUGAGACGACUCGCGAGUGUCAGCCCUUGAUUGAUUGUGGGACAUAAAUUCAAACCCUAGAGAACAGCUUUGCUGUGUGUUUUUCAAUCUCUAUCCUGACAACAAAGAAAAGUAUCCAAACUAGGGUUUCAAUGACAGUGACGAUUGGUGCAAACCAUUAACACAGUGCAAACGAAAAGUGAGGAAGAGGAAGAGAAGAAGAAGAAUGAGAGGAAAAGGGGAAAAAGGGUAUGUGUGUUGUUGGUAAGGGAAAAAU
rnacentral:misc_RNA from 1 species